rnacentral:lncRNA from 1 species
GGACAAGACUUAUGAUUUGAAAUUGUCAAGGCAAUGGAUGCAAGCAAUCCUGGUAAUUAAUGCUAAUUGUUAGUUUUAAUACAAUUUUUUUUCAUUAUUGGUUCUAAAUUGUUUAAAUUAAACAUAUUUACUUUAGUUGACAAUUUGAUUCUAAUCAAUAAAAUCUAACAUAACUAUCCUCUUCAAUAGUCAUUUAAGCUCAAUUCGUAUUAUCGAAGGUUCUGACUACAUUAGGAUAUCAAAGCAGCUUUGAAAAUCAGGUCUACUCCAAAUUCAUUCUGAUUUCAAAUGCUUAACUAAUUUAUUUUUUGAAUCUGGCAGCUGAUCUUGCCUUUUUUGCAGUUGGAUAUAAACUACUAUGACCUUGGCCUUCCCCAGUGGGAUGUUACUAAUGACUAGAAAACCAUUCAAGUUGCAUAAGCUACUUUUAAGUUUGACAUCCUAUGUUCUCGAUUUUGAAUAAAUAUUGAACUUCUAAUAAUAGGGCUUCAAUAUCUUCAUUUUCUCAUUUGCUUCACAAUAUUUGCAGUAGAGAUAAAAUUUUCAACAUCUGUAUUUUUAAGUUUUCUAUUACAAUUUUCGUAAAUAUUUAUUCGUUCUUCUUCUUAGUUGAUAGUUGUUUUGUACAUUGAAAAUGUUGGCUCAAUUUAGUAAUUAAAUGUGCCACCAUUUCUCCUGGUAGGCACAACUCAUCUUAAAUUGUUCGAUGCUAUGCGUCAUUUUAUCUUUAAAUUAUGAAUCAGAUCAUUAUCCUUUCUACACAUUAAGGCUUUGUUUGCCUAUCAUUAUACAAUAUUGUUUUUUGUACAAUACUCAUUUUUAACCACAUAUUCUUCAAUAAAAAAAUAUUACACGUAAAUAAAAAAAUUUCCUUCUUUUUGAACCACACAUUUCAAUAUCAAUUACUGUUCUAUGAUAUAUUCUUCACAAAUAAUGGGGCACAAACAUCCCCUAAUAAAAGAGGAAAUGUGGUGUGCACUGUUCAUUUUUGUCCCCUCCUGUUCAUCAAAAUAUAUUUGGUAUAUAUUAUAUAUAUGUCUUUUGUACCUCUUGUAAGACCAUUUAUACCUUCCUAAUCUCUCCAAAGAAUCGUAGGCAGCCAUUAACUCCGAUAGACUUCAACGACGAGGACGACAAAGACGAAGACAUGACGAAUAAGGUUUCGGCGCGAUACCUGGUGUUGGAUAAGUUUUUGUUUUGGGUUCUCUAUUUUCCUUCUUUCUAAUCUUACUUUCUAAGUUUAGUCGACAUAUUUCUUUGCUUAAAUUUGCAGGUUUUGAGUAUAUAUGAUAUCUGGGCAUCUCAUAAAUAGCUUAAAUAGUUCUUUAGUUUUGGGAAUUCCAUAUUCUGAUUUUUUGAGGUAACUCUUUUACCUUUGUUUAGAUGUUUAUUCUUUGUAAUCUGUGUAUGUUAGUUUGUUUCUGAACUGAAAUUAACUUGUUCUUAAAUUCAUUCUUUUGAUUUGAUUUUUUGAAUUCAAGUUUAUUCCUAUUUUUAACUUCUGUUGUUUAAAUAGUGUAUGCCAAUAAUGUUGUGAGAAUUCAAUUUAUUAGUUCCAUGGUUCAUGUAGUGGACCUCCAUGAUUUUUCCAUUAGUAUCCUUGCUUGACGUCUGGCAAACAUCGAAUUAGUUGGAGUAGACCUCGGUUUGGCUCCAGAUCCCAAUCUCAAUAACUCGAGUGGUCAUUAGGUAAACAGAAUAGGACAAAUACAAACUCUUCAUCAAAAAACCAAAAACGAAAAAAAAAAUAAAUAAAUAAAAACAAAAAACAAUGAAUCAAUAUUUUCAUAUGCAGUGAGUAUUAUUUAUGAGUUGCUUCUCAUGUUCUAUGAAGAGUCGUGACAUGAGGAACAAAAGCAUUUAAUAACUUGGACUAAUUCUAUAUUUGUUUCUUCCAAAUAAGGAAAAAAAGGAUGUAAAAGAAUAUAUUUUUAUUUUUAAGUUGUUGAAUCUCCUAUAUUGAUCAAUAUGUGAUAUUCCAACUCCUCAUCACUACUGAAAUCCAUAUGAUAUUGCGAUUAAUUCGUUUUUGCCUAAAGUCAAUUACUCAAACAAAACUAGAUCUUCAUUCUUUAUUUAUUUUUUUUUCCUUUUUACUAUUUUAACUGAGUGAAUAUCAUUUCUUAGUGCAAUUAGUUAAUUUUGGGGUUUCACUUGCACGCAAUAGCCUAUAUUGAAGGAGACAAGUACUACGGGGCAAAAAGCAACUAUUAAUGUUUGGGAACCUAAAAUACAGCAGCAUCAUAACAAGUUCAAUUUAUCCCAAAUUUGGUUACUGGGUGGUUCAUUUGGUAAAGAUCUCAAUAGCAUUAAAGCUGGUUGGUAGGUAAAUUUUUCUCCAAAUUACUUGGUCGAUCAUAAUUUGUUGCAUUAAUCUAACGGAUUAGAAUGCAUGUUAUUUCAAGUUAGCCCCGAUGUCUACGAGGAUAACAACACAACCAUUUUUGAGUACAUACCUAUAGACAAUUUAAAAAAGAAUGCCAGCUCUUAUUAAAUAGAAGUUAAUUAUAAGUACAAAAACUCGAAGAAAGCAUUUAAUGAAGGUUCUUAACAGUUAGUCUUGUGUUUUUGGAGUACGCUUAUAUUAUGUGACAAUUAUGUUUCUCUUCCAAUCCAAUUUAGCACAUAGAAUAAAAUCUCAAGCAUAAAUAAAAUAGUUAAUCCCUAAGCAAGCUGGAGUAUAGUACGAAUCAUGCUAUAAAUUUCUAUGUCAAAAUUAUUUUUCUCAUAGUUGGAGUUUUUUUCAUGGGACAAGCUUUGAGAAAUCGUGUGGCAAUGAUGAGAGAAGAGAAAGAAAAUCUGAUUUUGGGAAUUCUUAAAAUGAAAGAAGGAUGAGAAUUGAUUAUUUAAAAAUGAAAGCGAUGAACGUGCCUUCAAAGUCAAGCAUUCACUCAAGAAGAGCGGCAAAAGUAAGAGUGGUGUUAGUGGCAACUUUGUUUCAUUUGAGGAUAUUUGGGAUGUUGAUGAGCUGCAAGCUAUUAAGGCAUUUCGACGAGCCUUGAUGCUAAUUGUCAAACAAGUUUGAUGAUUAUCAUAUGAUGUUGAGGUUAUUUUACAACACUUUUGCCACUUUUAGUCAAAUGUUCGCAUGUACGGAUGGAAAUAUAAACUGUAUCCUGGUUUAACAUGUAGACGUCCUGAUUUUGUCCUCAUUACUAUGGAGGUAACUAGUCACCCCUUCCUCCUUUAGUAGGACAAUUUAUGAUUUUGCUGCAUUACUUUAUAAUUUUUCCUAUAUUGUAGUCGGUAGUUAAGGUUUGAGGGAUUGCAUUUAAUAGUCUUUCCAGAUAAGUUAUUUUUAUAUUUCUUGUAAACAUUUUAGUAUAUAGUUGGAAAAGUACGCAACUAUUUGAACUUUUGUCGAUAAUUAUCCUGAAGUAACAUUUUGAUCAUUUAUUUGAUCAAAGAUAUUAGGUUUUGUGUAGUCUUGGUAGUGUAAUAUAUUGUAUCCUCCAAAUGUUGCAGACAUUUCAUAAAAUAUUUAUCAUCAAGAUGGUCGAAGUAUUAUGCUACCGUAGAAUAUUGUAAAGAGUUUUUUUGAUCUCAGGGCCACCACUAAGAUACAUGUAUGUUGCUAUUUCUUCCUUUUUCCAUAUGUAAGCAUUAUUUUUUCUCACUUAAAUGGCCGACUUUAAUUACUCGGUCUAUCUUCUUUUUGGAAUAUCUCACAUGUACUUGGAAACAAAUAUAGGAAUAAGUUGCUUAAAAUAAAAGAUAUCAAGUGCAAAACAAUGGAAACCGUUGUUGUAACUUGCGAACAUUGAAAUUUAUUUCGAGAUUUUGACGUAAAUUUUUGGGGUUGUGUAGUGAUCAGAAUUCUUUGGUGGAAAGGCCAAGGGGUUUGCCUUCGGUCAGAUAGAGGACCAUGCAAAAAUUCCGAGAUACAAAAGGUCAUUCCUAACAUGGGAGCUAUUAAAUUGACCUACAAAGAUCAUAUAUAAAUACUUGUGUUAUAAUUUUGAUCAUGUUAAAAAAUAAUAAAUGGCUCGAAAUCAUGUUACAGAUGGUGCUUGAUGGUGAAGCACGACUGGCAGGAAGGUGGUUGAAAUUCUUAACGACGACAAAGAGAUAGUUUAUGCUGAGCAACACUACUUGAUUGUAUAGACUAUGUCUGUUGUGCAUAUGAUUAGGCACAACUGCACAAUAUUUCUGUUUUAUGUGAGAUUUUUUUUUUAUUUAGUUGUUGAAGCAGGUAAAGGCAGUGACACCUCAACUGUUGAAUCUGGUUCUGAAGCUGAAAAAUAUUUCUUCACCAAAAGCUAUUCAGAGUUACUCGCACCUUUGAUUGACUCAUGUUCGUGAGGAGGUAUGGUCAAGCCUUACAAUUUCAAGAUUAGAUAUUUAAUUAUCUGCUAUUGAAAAUAAUGUUUUUUAUAAUUUUAAUUGAAUUCUCCCUUAUUUAAUGUUGAGUCUAGUGGUAGCUUGUGCAAAUAUUUAAUUUGGUGCUUGUAGGUCAGUUAGUGUUUGCUUAAUUGCAACACAAGUGCAAAAUUAUCAAUUGCUUAAUAUCGUCUCUUUGAUUGGUUUAAAAGCAUCUGUGUAUAUCCUAAAAAGGUGUCCAGUUACAUGGAAUUCAAAUUUUUAUAGGUCGGGUUGUGCAAUCUUUUGCUACUAAAAAAAUCAAGUAAAGUGACAUUAUUCAAUAGUUCAUUAGUUGUUUGAUAAUUAUUAUUUAUAAUGUCUAUCAUUUUAUUUAUGAUAUAAGGUACAAAUUCUUCAUGAAAUAUAACUAAGCAUACAGUUUCUUGUAAGAAAUAUUGCUUUCCUAUAAAACUAAUUUUCCUUACUUAAGAAAGGAUAACUUUACCAUGUACAGUGUCUUCUUUAUUCCAAAAGUCUCGUUGGUCAACAUUUUAUGAACUCAAUGUAAAGAGAGACCCACUAUAUAUAGAACCAUAGAACACAGCAGAAAUGUGUUGACACUUUCUCAAUUCCUCACAAAAAUUAACGUGGAGGAUCAACCUUUCUCUUCUAAUUAUCUCAAGUCCUUGUUUCUCAGGUUAAAGCUAAUGGAAACUCUAGCUCGGCAACUUAUCACGAUAUGAUGAGUACGUUCCUAUGGUUGACAAAGUUGUUGAUUCUGGAUGGAAAAAGCAUAAAUCACUUUCAAAACCUUAUAUUUUUUAAGGUUAGUUGCUUUAGAAGUUCCAUUUUUGUAUCUGUCUCCAUACAUAAUAUUUGAAUCAGUCUAUGAUCUUCUCAUGCUUAUUUAUUCAUCUAAUACUUGCUUCGAAGACCUAGGGGGUCUUUUUUUCUUCGGUUGAACCGAUCUUUCUAUCAUUGCAAACGUCGCCUUAGGUGCUCAUUUUUAUUCUUAUAACUCUUAUCAUAUGUUGAUCAUGUUUAGAGGUUAUCUAUGAUUAACUUAUGAUUGUUCUUUUGUUAAUAGCUAUGCCUUAAUAACAUUUUGUUAUAUCCUGAUAUUAAAUGACCGCUAUAUUGGAGAUAUAAGAUUAGCUAUGUCUAAAUAAGAUUACAAUGACAAUAGAUUAGUAACUAUUUUUUGAUUGCAUAGUAUAUGAUUUUUCCCCUCUUUGAUUUUUAUAUCUCCAGGUAUAAGAUAAGAGAGAAGGAAAAAAUUGUUCAAGCAUAUUCUUCUUAGGAUCUUGAAGAAAUUUUUGUAAGUUUAUUUGUAUUAAAUUGAUCCUAUAUCAAUUAUUUAUAGAAAUUAUUCUCAAAAUAAACGCUCCAUUAUUUUACCGGAUCCAUUUUAUGUGACUAUAAUAUUUUCCAUAUUCUAAAUGUGUUGGCUACCAAAUAUCCUGAUUAGGAUUGAGGUAAGAUUGGUGUUAUCUAUAAUCUAUGUACCAUAAUUAAUUUUAUUAAUAUUCUAGUUAAGCCACUUUCUAAUUUCAAAUUCUACACUAUGUUUUUCAGAGCUUUGGUAAAAGAAGAGGAUGCUUGAUAAACCCAUCUAAGAAACUGGAAGGAAAAUGACUUUUUACAGGCACAAGAAAAGAAACUUAUUGUGGAGAUUAAAAAAAAUGUAAAGCAAGGACAGAUGGUAAGUUGUUCUCUAUAGUUAAUUCCAUUUCAGUUUCUUAGACUUUAUGGCUCUCUUUUCUCCCAUAGGCCCCAUCCGCUUUAUUGCCCAGGUUGCUCCCAUAAAGACAUUUUGAAAAUCGUUUUUGAUUAGAUUGAUUUUAAAGAUAGAUUCAUUAAUGAUAAUUUAGUGAAUUUUCAUCUUCAUUAUAUGAACCAUCUAGAAGAAAUCAGAUAGAAAUAAUUUUAUUUUAUAACUUCAAUGAAAAUUCAAUGGAAUAUUAUUGUGUUUACUCUCUCUCUCUCUCUCUCUCAAAAAUGUGGUAUCCACAAGUUAUGCCCCUAUUUGAUUCUCAUUAAAAUGAGAAUACUUGACCAAAAAACAUUUUCCCACAAUGCCGAUGAAUUAAAAUUUUUAGAUUUGUCAAUAUACUUGUGAGAUGAACAGGAAAAGUAAAAUGCUCAUUGAAAAGUCAAUACCAGAAAUACCCUGCUUUGGCCAAUUAAAAUUACACAAGUACCCUAAACCCAUUACCAAAAGGGCAUGCUGCUUUGAAAAUGACAUAAAAAUGGGGCCAUAAGUCAUUGAGU